rnacentral:rRNA from 1 species
GAUGAACGCUGGCGGCGUGCCUAAUACAUGCAAGUCGAGCGAACAGACGAGGAGCUUACUCCUCUGACGUUAGCGGCGGACGGGUGAGUAACACGUGGAUAACCUACCUAUAAGACUGGGAUAACUUCGGGAAACCGGAGCUAAUACCGGAUAACAUGUUGAACCGCAUGGUUCAACAGUGAAAGACGGUCUUGCUGUCACUUAUAGAUGGAUCCGCGUCGCAUUAGCUAGUUGGUAAGGUAACGGCUUACCAAGGCAACGAUGCGUAGCCGACCUGAGAGGGUGAUCGGCCACACUGGAACUGAGACACGGUCCAGACUCCUACGGGAGGCAGCAGUAGGGAAUCUUCCGCAAUGGGCGAAAGCCUGACGGAGCAACGCCGCGUGAGUGAAGAAGGUCUUCGGAUCGUAAAACUCUGUUAUUAGGGAAGAGCAAAUGUGUAAGUAACUAUGCACGUCUUGACGGUACCUAAUCAGAAAGCCACGGCUAACUACGUG